UACAGAGGUCUCAAGCGUUGUUCGGAUUCAUUGGGCGUAAAGGGUGCGUAGGUGGCAGGGUAAGUCGGAUGUGAAAUCCCGGGGCUCAACCUCGGAACUGCAUUCGAUACUGCUUUGCUUGAGUACUGGAAAGGAGAUUGGAAUUUACGGUGUAGCAGUGAAAUGCGUAGAUAUCAGGAAGAACACCAAUGGCGAAGGCAGCUCUCUGGGACGGUACUGACGCUGAGACGCGAAAGCGUGGG
rnacentral:rRNA from 1 species